rnacentral:rRNA from 1 species
CAGCAGCCACGGGAAUACGUAGGGGGCAAGCGUUAUCCGGAAUUACUGGGCGUAAAGGGUGCGUAGGCGGCUAGUUAAGUCGAGGUUAAAAGGCAGUAGCUCAACUAUUGUUGGGCCUUGAAACUAAUUAGCUUGAGUAUAGGAGAGGAAAGUGGAAUUCCCGGUGUAGCGGUGAAAUGCGUAGAUAUCGGGAGGAAUACCGGUGGCGAAGGCGACUUUCUGGACUAUAACUGACGCUGAGGAGCGAAAGCGUGGGGAGCGAACAGGAUUAGAUACCCCUGUAGUCCCUGUCUCUUAUACA